ensembl:lncRNA
AUGCCCCCAUCGUUGCCAAAAACCCCUAAAAUUCGCCUCCGGGACGCCCUCAUCGCGGCCAAAAAAAACCCCAAACUUCGCGUCGGCGCCGGGCGGGCCCCAUUUUCCCCGAUUUCCUCCCCAAAACCAAACCUUCUCCCGGCAGAACUUCCCCCUCCUCCCGACAUCGCGGUGACGCCGGAGAAGCCGGAGUACCUGAUCGGCGACACCGUCUCCAUCCGCUGCGCGGCCCCCAGGUCUACCAGUAGGGUCCAGGGCUUCCAGUUCUCCAGGACGGGGCGUUGGGUGGACGUCAGGAGCCCUUGGAGGACCUACACCUACACCUUCAACGUCACCGGCCCCAAAGACGGCGGGGCGCACACCUGCACCUACACCGUCACCGACCGCUACCGCCGGCCCGCGCGCUCGCGGGAGAGCCGAGCCGUUGACAUCAACGUUAGAGACCCUCCUCCAGCCCCGACGCUGGUCCUCAACGCCACGUCGGGGGUGGUGAGCGAAGGCUUCCCCCUCCUCUUCCUCUGCACGGCCCCGGCGAGCGCGGUGGGGCCGCGGUUCCGCUUCUUCCAGGACGGGUCCGAGGCCACCGCGGGGGUCGAGGUGGCCACGGGGGGCCACCGAGCUCGGAUCUCGGUGGCCACCAGCGGCCAAAACCACAGCGGGAACUUCAGCUGCGGCUACGAGGAGCGCGUCGAGGGCCGCUGGAUCCUCUCCUUCCUCAGCGAGGCCGUGGAGGUCUUGGUCAAAGACCUGCCGGGCCCUCCAGGCCUGCUGCUGGACCCCCCCUCGGGCGAAGUUCGGGCCGGGGACACCCUGGGGGUGACGUGCGCGGCCAACGGCAGCGGGGCGGGCGAGAGGAGGUUCUACUUCUACAAGGACGGCGCCGAGCAAUUUUCGGAGACCGGGGCCCGGGACCGGGUCCUCCUCAGCCUCCCCGUGGCCAAAACCACGGCCGGGAGCUUCUCCUGUAGGUACGAGGAGAAGGUGAGCGAGCGUUGGGUGCCCUCGCCGCUCAGCCGCGUGGUGGUGGUCACCGUGAAAGCCCCGGCUCUGCCCGUCCCGCUGGUGGCCGGUUGCGUCGCCGCCGCCGCCGCGCUGCUCCUGGGGCUGCUCGUGGCCGUCUGCUUCUGCCAGAGGAGGAGAGGUGAGCAAAAACGGGGGGAAAACGGGAAAAAUAACGUGAAAAAUCACUUUAGGGGCACAGCGAGGAGAUGGCGUUGGGUUGAGGGCCUUGAGGGCGCGUCCUUAGAUGGAGGAACCCCAAAAUCGCAAAGUUUCCCCCCAAAAUCCAAGCAAGUGUGGGAUGUUUGGGCUUCCCAUGAACCUUUUCGGGAGAAACAGCCCAUUUUUAACCAAAAAAGGGGGAUUAAGGAUAAAAAAAAACACUUUAGGGGCACAGCAAGGAGAUGGCGUUGGGUUGAGGGCCUUGAUGGCGCGCCCUUAGAACGGCGAACCCCAAAAUCCCAAAUUUUCUCCCCAAAAACCGAGCAAGUGUGGGAUGUUUGGGCUUCCCAUGAAGCUUUUCGGGAGAAACAGCCCAUUUUUAACCAAAAAAGGGGGAUUAAGGAUAAAAAACCACUUUAGGGGCACAGCAAGGAGACGGCGUUGGGUUGAGGGCCUUGAGGGCGCGUCCUUAGAUGGAGGAACCCCAAAAUCGCAAAGUUUCCCCCCAAAAGCCAACCAAACAUGGGGUAUUUGGGAUUGCCAUGAGCUUUUUCUGUAGAAACAGGCACUUUUUCACCCAAAAAAGGGGAUUAAGGAUAAAAAAAAGCACUUUAGGNGGGAAAUGGUUAAAAAAAUGGGAAAUGGUUAAAAAAUUGGGAAAAUGGUUAAAAAAGGUGGGAAAUGGUUAAAAAGGUGGAGAAAUGGUUAAAAAGGUGGGAAAUGGUUAAAAAAGGUGGGAAAUGGUUGAAAAAUUGGGAAAAUGGUUAAAAAGGGUGGAAAAUGGUUAAAAAAAGGUGAAGAAACUAAAGAAUAGGGCAGGAAAAAUGAAGGAAAAAGGAAAAUUAUUGAAGGAUGUGGGGAAAUCGAAAAAAGAGGCAGAGAAAAAAAGUAGAGAAAUGGUUAAAAGAGGAGGAAAAUGGUUAAAAGAGGGGAAAAAUGGUUAAAAGAGGAGGAAAAUGGUUAAAGCAGGGGGAAAAUGGUUAAUGGGGGGGGAGAAAUUAAAGAAGGAGGCAGAAAAAAAUUGAAGGAAUUGGGGAAAUUGAGGAAGGAGGCAGAGAAAAUGAGAAAGGAGGUGAAGAAACUGAAAAGGGAGAGGGAGAAAUGGGGGAAAAAGUGGAGAAAUUGGAAAAAGAGACGGAAAAUUUGUAAAAAGAGAGGGAAAACUUAAAAAAAAAGGGGAGAAAAAUUGAAAAAAAGAGGGAAAAUUUGAAAAAGAUGGAGAAAUUGUUGAGGGAGAGAAGGAAAUCCUUGAAGAAAGCGGGAAAAUUGAGAAAAGGGAUGGAAAAAUUGAAAGAGGAGGCAGGGAAAUCAGUGAAAAAGGAGGGAAACGGCCCCAAAAAAAUUCUCUGAGGUUGCUGACCUUUUUUUUUGGGGUGUUUUGGGGGUUUUUUGGACAGCCCCGGCUCUGCCCGUCCCGCUGGUGGCCGGUUGCGUCGCCGCCGCCGCCGCGCUGCUCCUGGGGCUGCUCGUGGCCGUCUGCUUCUGCCAGAGGAGGAGAGGUGAGCAAAAACGGGGGGAAAACGGGAAAAA